GUGUAGCAUGCUUGCCCUCCAGCCCGACUUCUUCAGGAUGCAGGCCUUGCCUCUGGACCUGGCUGGACUGUCCUCGGCCCCAGAGACUCGCAGAUGGCGGCCCCUGUGCAUGUGCCACCGUGCCGACGACAGAGCCGCCACACGACGACGGGGCGGCAGCCUUGUCCCGCGUGCAUGUGGGGCUGAGACUCUUUCAGCAGAUGCCGGCCCGCGGAUCCAGGUGGACUUGCCGUGAUCGAUGAUGGUGCCACAAACCACUUUGCGGAGUUACAGCCUGGGAUGACAGUGAUGAUUAUUCCACGUAUGACGGGGGCUGUGUAUCCUGCAGCCAUCCCUGGAGGGUUGGAGAGAGAACAGAGAGACUGUCCCAUGCUGGGGGCAGGCCCUACCGUCAGGUUCAGGGCUCCGCCCUCACCAUCCUCAUUUUUAAAUUGGGAGACUUAUUCAAGCUACUACCUUACCUGCCUUACAGGAUGAGGCCAAGUGAUCCAGGAGGCGUGUCUGUGUCAGCAAGUUCCAAUGCCCUGUGCAAAUACAAUGGGUGCUCUCAGAAUCGCUAUUUUGCCAAGAUCCGAGCAUCCCGUCGGGUUUGAAAAUGCCGUCAACCCCAUCCUCCCAUCCUCAUUGGCCAGGCUUAGCAUUUAGGGAGACUAAGGUGCUCACAGAGAGUAAGUGAAGUCAUAGCACCGAAAUAAAUCCUUCUCGGUGGACGAAAGAGACCUUUUAGUCUUUUUUUUUUUUUAAUUUCAUGAAAUUUUUUUUUAAUUUCACAGAAAUUUCAUUUCUGUGGAAAAUGCUCAUUCUUUAAUCUGUGGCCCUCUUUCGUAACCGCCGGGGCUGCUGGAUGGCUCUGGUGGGGGAGCUGGGCUUGAGCUCGCUCCACCUGUCCCGGCCUCCACGGGGGACAUGCCGUGUUGUUUGGGGCCUCCUCGCACUCUCCUACUCCCAGGAUGACUAGAAGGAUGAGAAUCGCUCUCCUCUGCAAAACAGAUGGGAGGGGAGCAUGCAGCACUACCUCUCUCUCUCUCUCCACUCCCCGUGGAGACUGGGUUCUCUACUCAAAGUGUGGGGGCCGAGCGCGGCUGGCGGUGCCACAGCACGAUGCAGAAGAGCUCGCCAGCAGCAGGGGGUCCUUGACUUCAGAGGGGCCCUGGCUUUGCUUCUUCCUUGGGCCUGCCUCUGUGGCCUGUCCCCUGUUUUGUUUGGACCGAGAACCGAGGACACAGAGCAGUGCACGUCCUCAGCACUUAGAUCCGCAACCACGGCACAUAAAUGAGGCCUCCUUGGGCAUUAAAGGACCAGCAGCUGGAGCAGGAGUGCGUGGUGGAGAACAUCAUGGAAUAGCUGCAGUCAGCUUCAUUCCCAGCGAGAUUUGUUCUAAAUAAACUCAUCGACAGCCAGACGAAUCAUGAGAGCUUGGGCGCAGAGGUCACACAGACUUGGGUUUGAACCCCAGCUGGCCACUCCCCAAGACCGUGAAUAGAGCAAACGGGCAUGUUUUAGCCAGUGUCCUAGCAUGUAAUGAAGGGGUGACAAUAACACCCCCCUCCCAGGACUUCUCUGAGGUGUACAUGGUGAAGCUCACUGAGUGCUCAGCCCUGUGCUCUCUCCAGCUCAGAGUAAGCAUCCCAAAGAGGCAGUGGACAGAAGAGUUACUAUGAUUAAUCGCACAGAGCUCACACUAUAGGGAAAUUGUUCUUUUCUUUCUUUUUCCAACUGAAGGAGCUUGGCUCGUUCAAUGGAGGCCCUGCCCUGGUGUCUCAGGUCCUAGGACCCACGUCGGGUCUAG
rnacentral:lncRNA from 1 species